UAUUAUCUUAUUUUAAUCUGUAACGUGCGAGGAUUAGCUCAUAGUUAUAAUAGGUUAUUAUAUUUAAAACGUUCGCAAAGACACUGACAGACAUAACACACAAGCAUACGUACAGAUAAACGCACGAAUCGUGAAAUAGAUGGAGAGAUAGAAUUGUUAAAGACAUUACAAAACGAAACCGUUUUAGGAAGAAACGACUUUUCGUAGCGUGGCUAAAGAAGUAAACCUAUCGUUUGCUUUCAAGUACUUAUAUUUAAAUUAUAUUGGAAAACAUUAUGGUCUGCUUUCAUCUAAAUUAUAAAGGGCGGGUAUGGCGGUGGGGCGGGAGAGGGGAUGAAAGCCAGGUCACGAUAUACAUAUUCGUUCUUCCCACGCAGUAUUUUAUAAAUAUACCAGCACCUAUUAAUAAUCGCGAAAUCUCAUUCGUGAACGAGGAAUUCAUGGGUACUGGAAGUUUAUUGAAACGAGUAAGAUGAAAAUGGUGGUGGUUUGCUAGGCCUCCGUUUUGCUUAUACCGCAAACAAAGCUGUAAGGAAGUAUGUGCGCUAUCAAUCUUGUUCGGCUACAGGUCUGACAGCUUCUGGCCCCAAGAACACAUUUAAAGCUUCUCACUGCAAUGUCGAAUAUCAUCAUGAGUGUGAGAACACUGUUUGCUGCUUAAAAUUGUUGCAGAUAAUAUUUUAUUGAUCUUCAGAGCAUAAGCAACGCUGCUGUAUUAUUACACGAAAGGCAUGUGGAUUAUGUACUGGAGAAGGAACGAGGCGAUAAUGGCAGUACAGCCCGGCUGGUGAUCUUUUGAGUGUGCAUUGUAAUAUCUGAACCUUUUAAGAUGUGCUAUGUACAUGUCUUGAUCAAACAAUCUAUUAUUAAUAAUUAAAGAAAAUUAAUCCAA